CAUGACUUUGAUCUGCGUCCUCAUCUGGACUCUCCUCUGCUGCUGCUUCACAGAGUCCAGAGGACAGGUCACAGUGACUCAGCAGCCUGCAGCAGUGACCUCUGCUAUUGGAGAAACCAUCUCCAUCAGAUGCCGGACCAGUCAGAAUGUUUAUAUUUGGAGCGGCUACCACUAUUUAUCCUGGUACCAACAGAGAGAUGGAGAAGCUCCUAAACUCCUCGUUUACGGUGCUAGCUAUCGAGCAUCAGGAAUUCCAAGUCGUUUUACAGGCAGUGGAUCAAACUCUGACUUCACUCUGACCAUCAGUGGAGUCCAGGCUGAAGAUGCAGCAGUUUACUACUGUAAUAGUUAUCAUGCUAUCAACAGUAAAGGUGUGUUCACACAGUGAAAAACGGUCGUACAAAAACCUCCCUCAGUCAGACUGAACAGAAACUGAACUGACUGCUGCAGCUGGAAGCUCCUGCAGAGACUGAUACACUUCACUGAGGACACACAGUGAACACACAAAACACUCUGAUUUUUAAUUAUUUUUCUCUGUUUUUCCAUAGUUAACUGCUCCACAACAUCACAAAUCAAUCUACAGAUGUUUUCAUAUGUGAAAUACUUCUCUAUCAUCAGUAUUUACAGACACCAAACACCACAGAACUACGACUUUCUAAAUCAAAGGCAAUAUGUGUUCUUCAAGUGAGAAAUAAUCUGGAGCCAAACGGAGGGAGAGAAAGAGAAGACAUAAACCAGCGGUCCCAGUGAUUAUAAUGGGAAACGUGAGGUCUUUGUAUGGGGAGGACAUCAAUAAGAUGACUGAGUACCUUAGAUUCUGUGAGGACACCACCAUGCCCUGGAUCUCCAUUGACUUGAAGGCACUCCUGAACAAGAAGAAGAGGGCUUUCAGGUCUGGAGACAGAGAGGAGCAGAGGAGGGUGCAGCAUGAACUCAGAGACAUACUGAGGACAUAUAAAGACAACUACAGGAGGAAACUGGAGGCCAAACUCCAACAGAACAGUGUGAGGGAUGUGUGGACAGGAAUGAAACACAUCACAGGGA